CAGCGCCACGGGAAUACAGAGGGUGCAAGCGUUAAUCGGAAUUACUGGGCGUAAAGCGCGCGUAGGUGGUUUGUUAAGUUGGAUGUGAAAUCCCCGGGCUCAACCUGGGAACUGCAUCCAAAACUGGCAAGCUAGAGUAUGGUAGAGGGUGGUGGAAUUUCCUGUGUAGCGGUGAAAUGCGUAGAUAUAGGAAGGAACACCAGUGGCGAAGGCGACCACCUGGACUGAUACUGACACUGAGGUGCGAAAGCGUGGGGAGCAAACAGGAUUAGAUACCCCCGUAGUCCCUGUCUCUUAUACA
rnacentral:rRNA from 1 species